rnacentral:rRNA from 1 species
UACGAAGGGGGCUAGCGUUGCUCGGAAUCACUGGGCGUAAAGGGUGCGUAGGCGGGUUUUUAAGUCAGGGGUGAAAUCCUGGAGCUCAACUCCAGAACUGCCUUUGAUACUGAAGAUCUCGAGUCCGGGAGAGGUGAGUGGAACUGCGAGUGUAGAGGUGAAAUUCGUAGAUAUUCGCAAGAACACCAGUGGCGAAGGCGGCUCACUGGCCCGAUACUGACGCUGAGGUGCGAAAGCGUGGGGAGCAAACAGG